rnacentral:other from 1 species
AUUUCUCUGAGAUGUUUGCAAGAGGGCCAGUCCCCUGAGCCGAUAUUUCAUACAACAAGAAUGUGGAGCGCCGCGGUUGGUGAGCAUGCACGGUUCGUCAGCGCAGCCUUAAAAAUGAGACGACACAGUCACAUUGAACCAAGCGUUCAAGGGUUAAAGCCUGAGGCGGCAUCUCGGAGAUUCA